rnacentral:rRNA from 1 species
GCAUAUCAAUAAGCGGAGGAAAAGAAACCAACCGGGAUUGCCUUAGUAACGGCGAGUGAAGCGGCAAAAGCUCAAAUUUGAAAUCUGGUACCUUCGGUGCCCGAGUUGUAAUUUGUAGAAGGUAACUUUGGGGCUGGUCCUUGUCUAUGUUCCUUGGAACAGGACGUCAUAGAGGGUGAGAAUCCCGUGUGGCGAGGAUCCCAGUUCUUUGUAAAGUGCUUUCGAAGAGUCGAGUUGUUUGGGAAUGCAGCUCUAAGUGGGUGGUAAAUUCCAUCUAAAGCUAAAUAUUGGCGAGAGACCGAUAGCGAACAAGUACAGUGAUGGAAAGAUGAAAAGAACUUUGAAAAGAGAGUGAAAAAGUACGUGAAAUUGUUGAAAGGGAAGGGCAUUUGAUCAGACAUGGUGUUUUGCGCCCUCUGCUCCUUGUGGGUGGGGGAAUCUCGCAGCUCACUGGGCCAGCAUCGGUUUUGGCGGCAGGAUAAAUCUUCAGGAAUGUAGCUUGCCUCGGUAAGUGUUAUAUCCUGGAGGAAUACUGCCAGCUGGGACUGAGGACUGCGACUUUACGUCAAGGAUGCUGGCAUAAUGGUUAUAUGCCGCCCGUCUUGAAACACGGACC